rnacentral:rRNA from 1 species
UACGUAGGGCGCAAGCGUUGUCCGGAAUUAUUGGGCGUAAAGAGCUCGUAGGUGGUUUGUUACGUCUGCUGUGAAAACCUAGGGCUUAACCCUGGGCCUGCAGUGGAUACGGGCAGACUAGAGGUAGGUAGGGGAGAAUGGAAUUCCUGGUGUAGCGGUGAAAUGCGCAGAUAUCAGGAGGAACACCGAUGGCGAAGGCAGGUCUCUGGGCAUUAACUGACGCUGAGGAGCGAAAGCAUGGGGAGCGAACAGG